rnacentral:rRNA from 1 species
UACGAAGGGGGCUAGCGUUGUUCGGAAUUACUGGGCGUAAAGCGCACGUAGGCGGACAUUUAAGUCAGGGGUGAAAUCGUGGAGCUCAACUCCAGAACUGCCUUUGAUACUGGCAACCUUGAGUCCGGGAGAGGUGAGUGGAACUGCGAGUGUAGAGGUGAAAUUCGUAGAUAUUCGCAAGAACACCAGUGGCGAAGGCGGCUCACUGGCCCGGUACUGACGCUGAGGUGCGAAAGCGUGGGGAGCAAACAGG